rnacentral:rRNA from 1 species
ACAUGCAUACAACAUAGAGUUAAUGCACCAAAUCCCAUUAGAACUCCACAGUUAAGAGCACUUAGGAUAGAGUAGUACUGGGAUGGGUGACCACCUGGGAAGUCCUAGUGUUUUACAUGCC